UCUCCUUAGGAGUUAUGCAGCAAGUCCAGGAUAAAGAUUAUUUCAUGUAUAUGACAUAAUGUCAGGAAAGUCAUGGAAAUGAAUAAGGGAGAGAUGUGCAGAUAAAGAAUGGAGGCUGUUCAAAAUGGUACUGCUGACAGUAGGGAGAUAGACAAUGUUCGUGAACUUUUCAGAAUGGAGUAUAGCUCUCUUAUGUUUGCAAAGAACAAUGUUGUCUGUUGGCCUGUUUUUGAUAUGUAGCAAUGAAGCACCUGAAGGAAAGCAAAUUGAAGAUCCACUUGGAAUCUGAGCCCUUAUGAAAAUGUCCUGUUUUGUACAAAUAAUCACAAGCCCAAUUUCAAAUUCAUCUUUACAUUGGACUUGUUGUUAAGAAUGCUCUUAUUAUUAAAUGAGGAUUGUCUUAUCCAUUUUUUCUUAAUAAUUUCAUUGCACUUCUUUAUUUUUUAAACUUAAAAUGAUGCUGUAUUUCUUAGAUAAAGAAGCAAACAAAUUCAUAUAUGCAAAUAUGUCACAAAUCUAACAAAUGCUACAGAUUAUACAACUGCCCUGUUAUUACGUCCAUAACUUUAAAGCCUUUGCUUUGGUACAAAUGAACUGGUAGCAGGAGAAGUUGUGUCAGGUUGUCAUUGACUGCUAAGAAUAACUGCAUAAUUGCACAUUUUAUUCUAUUCAGAUAACGAUGUCUUUGAAUUAUCCAUUUUUUCCAGGCGAAUUUAAAAAGUGUAGGAAGGAAAACAUGAAAAUAUACUGCCUUUUGAAGCAAGUUAGUAGUAAAAAUGAAGUAGCAAAAUAUUUCCCUUUUCCCUGCUGGCUUGUAACUAAUGAACAAAUGACUAGUUAAUAUCAUUAACUAGGGAAAAAAUAGCCUCAGUUCUUCUUAGAGUAUAAAAUGGUUGAAUUGGGAAUUGUGGACAGACCAGCCAUCACUACUUUACCUAAAAGUUGUUGUGGUGAAGCUUGGAACCCUGUCACAUUGGUAUGUGUACAAACAUGCAGUCUCCCAUCCUGAGAAGGAUCAAAAUAACUCUGCAACUGCGAAAGGAGAGACAGUUCUUCCCCUUAAUUUACAUACAUGAAACCGAGAACAAGGUCAGAAAGAAAUAGAAUAAUGAAAGUGUCAUGGACUGACACUGCAUCAGAUUAUGUAACUGUAAAAUUUUACAUGCUUCACAGUGAAGGAAUUUACCAAUUUUUAAUUUAAAAUGAUUGAGAAAUGUGAGAGAAAUAGUUCAGAGUGAAAAUGGUGGUUCAUAUGCUUUCAUGUUUCUUUAUAUCUCCAAAUUGUUUGAUGCCUCUGUGUAACGAAGCAGAAGACUUCUUGGCUGCCAGUGAUAUCCUAAGAUUGUUCAGCACUGUCUUAUCCAUCAGUUUGUCAAAAACCUUUUGUAACAGUUAAAUAAAUGAAUAAAAUGACAUAAAUUAGGAGUAAAAAUUAUAAGGAAAUAUUUUGCAUAGCGCAUAGAUUCACCAAUAGGACAUGAAGUUACUGCAGUUAUUUUCAUAAAGCUGUUAAAAGCACAGUACCUAUUUUAUUUAAGAGCAUGGAUUUGAAGUAAGAAAAUCAUGAAUGGAAGCCUGUCAGCCCUGACACUCUGUGUCCUUGGGAGAAGGCAGUGCGACCAACCCUGGUAUGACAUCACCUGAGUACCAGAUGCAAGACCACAGUAGAUGGGGUAGGAAAUUGUGGGAAAUAACGUCAAAUCUGUUGAUCUGCUAAUGUGUACAUACUUAAAUAUAUGUAACAUCUCUUUGCCUUUCUGUCAGACAAUUUAAAUGUGAUUGUCUCUAUCUCCUACACUUUCACUUUAAAAAACAAUGUGUUCUGGAAUGCUUUGUCUGCUUAAGUUUAAAUGACUACUGGCACUUUCAUGGGAAGUCUUAUCUGAUCCUCAGCUCAGUUUUCUUCUCUCAGCUGGUCAUAAAACUACCCAUCAAGCUCA